GCACAAGCGGUGGAGCAUGUGGUUUAAUUCGAAGCAACGCGAAGAACCUUACCAGGUCUUGACAUCCCUGACAACCCGAGAGAUCGGGCGUCCCCUUCGGGGGACAGGGUGACAGGUGGUGCAUGGUUGUCGUCAGCUCGUGUCGUGAGAUGUUGGGUUAAGUCCCGCAACGAGCGCAACCCUCGACCUUAGUUGCCAGCAUUCAGUUGGGCACUCUAAGGUGACUGCCGGCUAAAAGUCGGAGGAAGGUGGGAUGACGUCAAAUCAUCAUGCCCCUUAUGACCUGGGCUACACACGCGCUACAAUGGGCGGUACAAAGGGUCGCGAACCCGCGAGGGGGAGCCAAUCCCAAAAAGCCGCUCUCAGUUCGGAUUGCAGGCUGCAACUCGCCUGCAUGAAGCCGGAAUCGCUAGUAAUCGCGGAUCAGCAUGCUGCGGUGAAUACGUUCCCGGGCCUU
rnacentral:rRNA from 1 species